rnacentral:rRNA from 1 species
GAUGAACGCGGGCGGCGUGCCUAAUACAUGCAAGUCGAGCGAAUGGAUUAAGAGCUUGCUCUUAUGAAGUUAGCGGCGGACGGGUGAGUAACACGUGGGUAACCUGCCCAUAAGACUGGGAUAACUCCGGGAAACCGGGGCUAAUACCGGAUAACAUUUUGAACCGCAUGGUUCGAAAUUGAAAGGCGGCUUCGGCUGUCACUUAUGGAUGGACCCGCGUCGCAUUAGCUAGUUGGUGAGGUAACGGCUCACCAAGGCAACGAUUCGUAGCCGAACUGAGAGGGUGAUCGGCCAACCUGGGACUGAGACACGGCACAGACUCCUACGGGAGGCAGCAGUAGGGAAUCUUCCGCAAUGGACGGAAGUCUGACGGGGCAACGCCGCGUGGGUGAUGAAGGCUUUCGGGUCGUAAAACUCUGUUGUUAGGGAAGAACAAGUGCUAGUUGAAUAAGCUGGCGCCUUGACGGUACCUAACCAGAAAGCCACGGCUAACUACGUGCCAGCCGCCGCUGUAA